GCAUAAAUGAAACCCUCACAAUGGAGCUGUGUCAGAUAAUCUAGAAAAAGAAUAAUCCUGUUUACAGAAAAAAUACACAGAAGAACAUAAUCAGCAACAGCAGCAAACUAAAAACACAAGAUCUUUGUGAAGUGGUUUACGGGAGAUGGAUGGACCCUGAAGGUGUGUGGUGGUGGUUUGUUUUGUUUUUUUGGUUUUAAGAAAAGUUUGUAGUGUGGUAUCUUUUGCAAUUUGCAUGAGUUCACCAUACCUUGUCAGUUGAUGGCACUAUGACACCUGAAGACAUUUAGAAAGGAAAUAUAUAUAGACAACUUACAAAAACAAAAAAGAGCAUAUUUCUGUUUUGGUUUAUACAUAUGAAUGUAACUUAAUGGCCAGAUAUAACCUGUUAAAUACUACUGUGCUGAAACCAUAAAUAUAAAAUUACUUAACAUUUUCAUACCUGCUAUAUAUUUAUCCAACUUUAGUGGGGGGUUAGACAUUGUAUGUAGCUGUGAAAGACACACCGUGGGACCUUGUCUGAUCUUGCAGUCCUUCUGGAUGCAGACCAGUCAUUGACUGCAACAAAAGCUACCAUGCAUAUGUUGAGGACUGUAACAUCAAGCUUAUGUUGCUAGUGUAGUUUAGCUGCCAAGGAACAUUUAUGUUACAGAUUGUUACACUGAAUAAGUAUCAGAGGGGUAGCAUGUUAGUCUGUAUGCCACCGGACUCCUUGUUGUUUUUACAAUUAAUCACUUUCCUGGAUGAAACAAAGGCCAUCAUCAACCAAAAGUGAACAGAGCUUGCUUGGAUGGGGAACAUAAUCUUUACUGAGGCUAUGUCUACACUACGGACUGUACAGUAGCACAGCUGCACUGCUGUAAGGUCUCCUGUGUAGUCACUCUAUGCCGGAGGGGGAGAGCUCUCCAGCCGGCAUAAUUAAAACACCUCCAACAAGCAAUGGUAGAUAAGUCGGCGGGACAGCAUCUCCCACUGACACAGUGCUGUCCACACCAGCAUUUUUGGCAGUGAAACUUUUGUUAGUUGGGGUGUAGUUUUGCCGACAAAAGUGCUAGUGUAGACAUAGCCUGAGAGUUAGAUUGUGCAAGGGGCUGAGUGUGCUGGAGUCAAUGGGAUUACUUGCGCUUAAAGCUAAGUAUAGGCUUAAGAGCUUUCUUGGAUUAGGCCCAGAAUGCCUAGCAUCUUGCAGGAUCAAGGUCUAAAUUAAAAUCAAUGUAUUGUCUUAACCACGUAUUGCCUCUUGAGAAAAAGCCGUUUAUACAAGACAUCUAUUCUUAGGCUACAACGGUGGUAGUUAUUUCCAGCCCUGGAGAAAAACACCGUAUCUCCACACACAGCAGAAGUACACUUCAAAAAAACAAAUUCUAGUUCAACUUAGUCACCACAGCCAUGUUUUGUUUUCAAAAAAGUGAGAGGAGAUAAAAUAAGUGAAGGAAGUCACAACUUAAAUUAAAAAUUCUUAAAGCUCAGUGAUUAAGUGCUUGCCAUAAAAACCUACUGGACCCUCCUAGAUUCUACAUAUGAACAAUGUUCAAGUCAUUUGUAUAAAAUUACUGCAAGUCAUGGCUCAUUUAAACAGUUUUGUUUCCCACCCUCACCCCCAUAGCAGCCAUCAUGUUUUGUGCCUGUUAUAGAUACAUUUGUAUUUCUACUGGAGAACACUAGUUCAACUAUUUGGUUUAAGUGUAAAAACAUGGAGGGUAUUGAGGGGAAAAUAUGGCAUUGUUGCAAGUGUCAUAUGCUACGAAACUAGUAAAUAUUAUAUAAAAUACAUCUAUUAAUUCUGUUACUUCCUGGAACAUUCUACAAUGUUUAUAAUGUCCUUUUUAAAAGUUCUUAAAAUGGCUUAGGGCUUUUCUCCUUCACAAAUCUGGGUAUGAAAAGGAGCCUUAAAAAAGGUGAUAGUUAUCUGAAUGCAUGGUGAAAAUGAGGCAAUGUUGCAGAAUUUGUACUGGAUGGAAAAGAAUGUGGGACAUGAUGAAGCUGGUUUAAGGCCACUCCACCCAGAGCUAGCUGUGCACCUUGCUGUUGGCUGAUGCAGCUCAGCCUGUGUGGUGCUUCCUCCUGACCAAAUGCCAUUGUUAUGUCCCCAUUGUUAUUCUGGUUAUCACUCUGAGGGAACUGCCAGAAACCCAGUAUAUGAGUAAGAUCCAUGGAGGGCAUGCUAAUAGAUUCAACUGUUGUCACAGUCUCCUUGUGCAAUAUGUACUUGCCAGCAUCGCCUGCAGCCCCCGAGGAAGCUUCUUCCUGAUUGACUUUGUGAGGUUCUGGUAAAGGCAGGUCCUCAAGCAAAUUCACAUUAUGAGCUUUAACAUCCACUUCGAUGGGUAGGCUUUUGAGGGAUGGUGCAAAUGAGGUAGUACUCAGUUCAUAUUUGUUGUGCCGAUGAGGAUUCUGGUUGGUAGGAAUUGAUGGUGGAGAUGGUUUAGAAUGAGUGGCUGAGACACUAUCUACACAGCUCAUCCUUACCAAAUGAGGAGGCUCAAAGGGAUGAGUAGACUGUAGGCUUUGUUGACAGUGAAUAUGUGGGCUGCUAUACUCUUCUGCUUCUAACGUGUUCGGAAGCCCAUGCUGCAUAGAAGCCCUCUCAGGAAAAGAGGACAGGAUACUGGCAUCUUCCUUCAGUCUGAAUGGAGAGAAAGGGGCAAAGAGACCCUGCAAGUCACCAUUCUGCAACCUGCCCUUCAGCAGCUCUUGUGGAUGUGUUUUCUUCAUGUGGCGAGUCAAGUGGUCCUUGCGCCCAAAUCUCUGGGCACAGAACUGGCACAAGAAGUCCUUGCAGCCUGUGUGAACCACCAUGUGACGCCGCACAUCUUUGCGGGUAUAGAAAUAGUGUUCACAAUGGUCACACUUAUGUUUCUUUUCCUUGGUGCUGCUGCCUGGCUUCCCUGCAUGAGUUUUGAGGUGUUCUAACAACACUUCAGUGCCUCCAAACUCUUGGGAACACACCCUGCAGGUAAGGUCCCCACUGGUGGCUGCAUGAAGAGCCAGGUGUCGUUUGUAACCCAGCUUGGUGUUGUACUUCUUGUCACACUCUUCACACUUGAAGGCCAUUUUGUUGGGGUCAUGAGUCUGAAGGUGAUUUUUCAGAUGGUCUUUUCUGUGGAAGGUCUUUUCACAGUAACCACAUUGGUGAGAUUUUUGUGGAGAGUGGGUGGCCGAGUGCCUAAGACAGAAGAAUAACAUGUUUACAGAACUCAUGCACAUAAGUGGGAUACAGCUUCACAAUAUGAAGGCACUUGCGCUCUCUAGGGUAACAGUUUUCAAAAAGCCAGACUCUGUUAAAUAGCAAACUGGUGGGUUUUUUAUAGUCUGCAGAGCUAGAUGAACAUUACUGCAAGAAACACCUUUUGAAUGGCAAUUAUAAUUGUACUUGAGAGGCAGAGGCUAGCUAGUGCCUAAAACAGAGGACUGGGAGUUGGAAUACCUAUUGUCCUGCCACUGACUCGUUGGAAUACAAUGGAAAACUCAUUUAUCCUCCCUGUUCUCUCAUCUGUAAAAGGGGUAGAACACUUACUCUCAGAAGUGAGGUAUGAUGUAAUCAAUUUAAUGUUUGUGAAGUGCUCAAGUUCCUUAGAAGAAAGGAGCCAUAUAUAAGCCCACCUGACUUGGGGCUCAGGUGUAUGCACAUGCUAUCAGAAUGGAUACUUAGAUUCACUGCCAUCUGUUGCUUAUGUUUUAUUCACGCACCUUGAACAGCAUUUAUUUAAAUCUUAACAUUCUGUAUAGAAAUAUGACCAAUGGAGUUUAGCGAGUAGUUGUCACUAGUGCAUGCCAAGAAAAUACAUCUUUUCCUCCCCACACCCACACUGGGAAGGGCUGCUAUCCCUUCAGGAGAUGUACCUUAUCAGUUUGUAUUUGGAAAUGAAAGCUUUCGUGCAUCCCUGUUGGGAACACCUGUAGGGACGCUCUCCUGUGUGGGCAUAAGUGUGGGCUGUGAGCUUUUCAACAGAAACAAAUAUCUUCCCGCAGAGGCGGCAGCGAUAACUGUCUGGCUGCUUUGCUUCUCUUUCUUUUAGUAGUGAAGACUGACCAUUUCUCCAUGUAGGCACAAAUCUCACAAUGGAACCGCAAACACUUCCUGAGCUGGCACAGGUAGACUUUGCACUAGGGGAACAGGAAAUGGCCCCAUAGCACUGGACAAUGCUUGUGCCCAUGCCAGUUUCACUCAGUUUGCCUUUGGUUUUGCCCUUUGUUUUUAGAGGUUCUAAUUUAUUUGCUGGUCUGAAGCUGGUGAGAAGUGCUUUGUCUUUACUGAUGCAUUGGUGAGAUUCCAGCAGAGCUAAAGUCCCAAAAACGUUACUACAAUUGGAGCAUAUCCAGGCGUCGGCACACUCUCUCUGCAAUGAGAACAGAAACAGUUCCCUCAGAUUAACCAUUUCAAAGAGAGAGAGGUCACAUUCUUCUCACCAGCCCUAUGUUGUCUUUGGUCUUCCCUAGGCCUCUCACUUCCCUUGGUGACAGGCGCAGGCACAGCACGUAACUGUGCCACCCAGACUGCUCUUCAGUUGGAGACAUUAAUCUUAGCUGUGUACAAACAUGAAAACAAAUGAUUGGGUAAAUGAUUAUUUCCAUGUUGUUGUCUGGUGUUUAUUGCUAUUCUAGCUCUUGUUGAGCUUUUGGUGAUUUUUUUUUUUUUUCCCCUCUGCAUAGUAAAUUUCAGUGUCUCUGUGCUUGUUCUUAUUAUGGAAGCGAUAGUCACAGUUCCAUAGUUAAGACUGAGUCAAGUUUUCCACUUACUUUUAGACUGAGCGCAAACUGUGAUACCGCAGCUGUACAGAAGCCAUGGGCCUGUGGGAUUAUUCUGCCAACAAUGCAGGGUGUCUGUCUGUCUCUCUCUCUCUCGCUCUCUCUCUCCAUAGAGACAUGGAGAAAGAAGAAAAUAAUGAGAUGUAAUAGCUUUUGCGCUUUAACACUGGGGGGGGAGAAGGAAGGGGCGGGCGCUGUAACAUGCAGCACAUGUAUGCCAAAGAAUUAGGACAUAACAAGCUAGAGCAGUGAACGGGUGAAAGGAGAAUUUUAAGGAUUGGUGUACUCAGUUUCCCAAGAAUAUAUGCCAGCAUGUUAGUCUUUCCAGAGUUUACCAUUACAUGCCAACACUGUAUCGUGCCCUGUUUAGAGUACAAGUACAGUACACAAAGUAAAAGAGCUCCAGGUAAUACUUUUCUUUUGCUAUUUGACUGAAACUGUUAAUUCAGUGUUAGACUAGUUGACAAUCAUUUUCUGUCAUGUGAACUGAGGCAAGGCCAGGUGUUGGCUUGGAUGCAGUCCUUGGACACUUACUGUUGUUAAAACUGGUGAUAAAGCACAGAUAUCAGAUUCUUCUUUGAUGACAACUGCAGAAGCUUCCAUAAACUUGGCGUAAUCUGCAGCAUACCACACUUUUAAUUCUGUGUGGGGUUCAAUUGGCUGUGAAUGGAAAAAAAUCCCCAGUAUUUACUUGUACUGCCUUUGUUUCUAUAGGAAACUUUUACAUCUUAUUUAAAACAGGUGGUAGUCUAGUUGUUACCUUUACAGCAACUGUUUUCUUCAUAUCUGUUUAAACCAUUGAUAGCUUACGUGAUGCUGUAUGGAAUAUUGAUACCAAUAUUAUAAAAUUGCAGUGAAUCUUACAAGAUGUGCCAUGUAAGGUAUCAGUGGAAAAGUUCUGAUUUGCUAAGUAUGAUGGCCUUGUUCAUAUGUAUGUAUCAUCUUUGAAUCGUGAGUUAUAAAUAUGUAUGAUAUAUCUGCAUCUCCAACCUGUGCUGUUUCUGGAUGCCAUUGCUGAGGCCAAUUUGUCUGCGACUAUCUAGCCUGUUGGAUGGCCAAUCAAGGCCAAUCAGCUCUACAAUGAACCCAUUGAGUGAAGGCAGGAGCUAUGCCUAUGAGUCAGCAAGACACGUGGGGACAUGCCUGUGAACAGGGGAUUACAAGAGCUCUUUCUUGCCCGUGAGCUUGGGUUUGGGACAGAAGAUGUACAGGCCACACGGCAAAGGAUACUGAAAAGCAGCUGCAUCUUCUCCAUUUUGUCUUCAAUCCUGCUUCUCACCUCUGGAGUAACUUCUCUACGAAUUGAAGCUUUGAACAAAGGACUGAUAGACCCAUCCAAGCUGUGGAUGUGUUCCAGAGGGACUCCACAAGCCAGCAAACUCACCAGUGCUGCUAAGAACCUGAUAUAUGGACUCUGAAAUCUUAUGUAUGUAUAUAAUUGCUUUCACCAUUUAAUGACUCUCCUCUCAUUCUUUUCUAAUAAACCUUUGGUUUUAGAUACAAAA